rnacentral:misc_RNA from 1 species
UUUUUUUUUUUUUCCUAUAUCUAUAAUUUCCUGUCUCAUUGAAGAGUCAAUUGGUAGUAUUCUGCCAUUUACUGAAGUUAACUUGUCUUUUUCUUGGCAAGUUUUGAGUAAAAGUGUCCCUCAUGGUUAAGCGUGUUCUAUUAUGUGUACUGAUAGAUGUGAAAAUCCCAAGGACUAAAUCUUAGGAGGUAAAUGAUUCUUUGCACUUCUUUUUUGUAUCUAGG